GGCUGGUCCGAAGGUAGUGAGUUAUCUCACCUGAUUGUUCACAGUCAGUUGCAGAUUGAACUCCCUGUUCUCCUACUUUCCCCCCUUCUCACUAUUGUACUUCACUAGUCUUCA
ensembl:misc_RNA Y_RNA Y RNA